CUGCAUUUGAAAACCAAUAAAUAAACUAACUUAUUAUUUACAUGGCAAUAAUGCCACAGAAAGUCUGCCCCAUGCCACAACAAUUUUCCAACAAAAUUACAGAAUGGCAUUAGAUAUUGAAUAUAAUGGCUAGUUUUAAAAUGAAGUAAAAGUAGGAAAUCUAGUUAAGUAAUUGGAACCCAUUAAAAUCAAAUGAUAACAAAAAGCCAGAUCAUUCUUGACAAAGUCAUCUGGUCACUAAAUCAUCGACUAUAUUUAUUGCACUUGCUUUUUAAUGAGACAGAAACUUCUACAAUACAAUAUAGGUACAACAACCACAUGAGAUAAGCUAAAAGAGCAUCUAAAUUAGCAAUACAUUUAAUUUAGGUAGGUUCCAGGAAGGAAUGAAGAAAAAGAUAAACUAAUGAACUGACCAUUAAAGAAGUUGGUUUUCCAAUUGCCCAAAGAUUGACUUUGUGAUCAUCACC
rnacentral:misc_RNA from 1 species